GACGAACGCUGGCGGCGUGCCUAAUACAUGCAAGUCGAGCGGACUUAUCUGGGUAGCUUGCUAUUUGGAUAAGUUAGCGGCGGACGGGUGAGUAACACGUGGGUAAUCUGCCUCGUAGUUUGGGAUAACAGGCCGAAAGGUUUGCUAAUACCGGAUAAGUUCAUGUUGUUGCAUAAUGGCAUGAAGAAAGGGGAAACCCGCUUUCAGAUGGGCCCGCGUCCCAUCAGCUAGUUGGUAAGGUAAAGGCUUACCAAGGCGACGACGGGUAGCCGGUCUGAGAGGAUGUACGGCCACACUGGGACUGAGAUACGGCCCAGACUCCUACGGGAGGCAGCAGUUGGGAAUCUUAGGCAAUGGACGAAAGUCUGACCUAGCGACGCCGCGUGAGGGAAGAAGGCCUUCGGGUUGUAAACCUCUGUCAUGGGGGAAGAAGGAAGUGACGGUACCCCAAGAGGAAGCCCCUGCUAACUACGUG
rnacentral:rRNA from 1 species